rnacentral:lncRNA from 1 species
CGCUACAUCUAUCAAGGCUUCGUAUCAGCUCAUCCUACUGAACGUCGCAACUGCAUUCGGCAACUCAAAAACAUGCUCCACCCUCUUAAACCCCUCAAUCAACCGGACUCAGUCAACUGGCGUUGGACUUCAAAUCAACUCUUCACGGUCAAAUCACUAUACUCGUUCCUUACUGACACUGGCUGUAGAGACCCAACUAGCCAGCCCAUCUGGAAACUUAAAACCCC